UACGAAGGGGGCUAGCGUUGUUCGGAAUUACUGGGCGUAAAGCGCGCGCAGGCGGUUCUUUAAGUCAGGGGUGAAAGCCCAGAGCUCAACUCUGGAAUUGCCUUUGAAACUAGAGAACUUGGGUACGGGAGAGGUGAGUGGAAUUCCGAGUGUAGAGGUGAAAUUCGUAGAUAUUCGGAAGAACACCAGUGGCGAAGGCGGCGACCUGGUCCUCUACUGACGCUGAGGCGCGAAAGCGUGGGGAGCAAACAGG
rnacentral:rRNA from 1 species